ACACUGGUACUGAGACACGGACCAGACUCCUACGGGAGGCAGCAGUGAGGAAUAUUGGUCAAUGGACGCAAGUCUGAACCAGCCAUGCCGCGUGCAGGAUGACGGCUCUAUGAGUUGUAAACUGCUUUUGUACGAGGGUAAACGCAGAUACGUGUAUCUGUCUGAAAGUAUCGUACGAAUAAGGAUCGGCUAACUCCGUGCCAGCAGCCGCGGUAAUACGGAGGAUUCAAGCGUUAUCCGGAUUUAUUGGGUUUAAAGGGUGCGUAGGCGGUUUGAUAAGUUAGAGGUGAAAUUUCGGGGCUCAACCCUGAACGUGCCUCUAAUACUGUUGAGCUAGAGAGUAGUUGCGGUAGGCGGAAUGUAUGGUGUAGCGGUGAAAUGCUUAGAGAUCAUACAGAACACCGAUUGCGAAGGCAGCUUACCAAACUAUAUCUGACGUUGAGGCACGAAAGCGUGGGGAGCAAACAGGAUUAGAUACCCUGGUAGUCCACGCAGUAAACGAUGAUAACUCGUUGUCGGCGAUACACAGUCGGUGACUAAGCGAAAGCGAUAAGUUAUCCACCUGGGGAGUA
rnacentral:rRNA from 1 species